GCAGGCAAAGCGCGUGCGAAGUGCAGGCAAAGCGCGUGUGAAAUGCAGGCAAAGCGCAGGCAAAGUGCACACUAAGGAUAAUCUAACUGCAGGCAAAGUGCAGGCAAAGUGCGUAUAAAGCAUGUGCAAACUGCACACAAAGUGCAGGCAAAGUGCAGGCAAAGUGUGUGUAAAGCAUGUGCAAAGUGCAGGCAAAGUGCAGGCAAAGUGCAGGCAAAGUGCAGGCAAAGUGUGUGUAAAGCGUGUGCAAACUGCACACAAAGCGCAGGCAAAGCGCACGCUAACUGCACAAAAAGCGCAGGCAAAGCGCAGGCAAAGCGCAGGCAAAGUGCAGGCAAAGUGCACACUAAGGGUAUCCUAA
rnacentral:lncRNA from 1 species